GUUUUGGAUGGGAUUUGGAUAAACCCGUGAAAUGCUGAACCUAGUGAGAACAAUUUGGAGGAUGAGUAAUUGAUAUGAGAAAAUAUAAAGGGUGUAAAUUGACAUUCAUCACACUGAAAUGAAUUAGUGGAUUCAUUUUAAAGUGAUUGGAACAUUUUGAGACCAAAUAAGUGAUCCAUCAAAGAAUCCCCAUUCCAGCUCCUACCGCUUCUGUCUUCGUGCGCAGCAGCAGCGUCCUCUCAGCCGGACCUUUUCUUUGGAAUCCUUCAGAAGCUUCUCUCAUCUCCGCCGCUUUCAAUCGAAGAAUCCAGAAAUCAAAAACCUCCAUCAUUUUAUUGCCCAAGCUGCCACUCUCACUGCUGCUUCUGAAGUAGAGCCCGAGUAAAACAUUAGAGAUCCUUCUAUUGUACAAAGGAGUGUUGUGCAACGAAUUGUAUUGUUGUGUAAGAAGGUUCAUCAUGUUUUUCACUGCAAUUAGGUGUAUGGCAAAGAAGCCCAAGCCAAAAAUGAAACCAAUUGAGCUAAAAACACCACCAGAGCAGAAUCAAACAAUUACUAGAGCUGUUUUUGAUAUCUUGAAGGAGCAUGGUCCUCUUACCAUUGCUGACACAUGGCAACGCGUAAUGGAAGUUGGUGGUACAGGGGUGACAAGCAAGAGCCAUAUGAAAACAGUAGUUAGAUGGAUGCGGGAGAGGCAGAAACUGAGAUUGAUAUGCAACCACGUUGGACCGCAUAAGCAGUUUUUGUACACCACUUGGUUCACAAAAUCGAAGCCAGACCAGACAAGAAGUAGGAAUGAAUCUUCACAGCCAAGACAUUGAUGUAAAAACCAAGUGCCUUUAGUUGACAUGCAGCUAUCUAACUACUAAAUAUAUAAUAGAGGCGUCGACUUAACGCUCCUUAGGAGGGCUUCGAUGAUUGUUGAAGGUACACAUUGUCAUCUCUUGUUUGGGUCUACUUCAGCACAAUGAAUUAGCAAUCGAAUUCUCUACUUCCCUUAGUGAUCAAUACAUUUGCUUUCUUUUAUAUUUCAAUUUCUGAAAGUUGAUGGGCGGAUUAUCACAUGUUCAGUUAGAAAAUUAGUUUUAGCCCAUGCAACUUCCUUCUAGAAAAACU